rnacentral:tRNA from 1 species
GGCUCCAUAGUGUAGUGGUUAGCGUGUAUGCUUUACAUGUAGAAUGUCCUGGGUUCACACUCCAGGUGGAGCCA